AAAAUUAUAUUUAAUCCUUAAUCAGUUUGCAAAUAUAGUUAACAACAGUUUGACUAUAAUUACAUUACACUAUAAAAACUAAAUGGUUGGGGCCUGAUGCUCAGCUUGCUACUGUUAUUUAGAAAGAUGUUGUCUAUUGAAGAUUGUUAAGUUCUUCUAUUUGUUUGCUGUUUUUUUUUUCUCUUUUUUUUGGUAUUUAUACGGGGUUUAAAACAAAAAAAAAUUAAAAUUACAAACUACAUCACAAUCUUUUGAAGUAUUCGAACUCCUCUAGCAUCAUCACCAAUAAUUUGCACUAAUUCUCUAGGAGGUUGAUCAACCAGGUUGUAUCCUAAAGUAGCUUUAAGACUGUACUUUGACAUCCAGUCCGCAGCUUUAUUCCCAUCCCUAUAUGUAUGAGGUUGAUCAACCAGGUUCUAAACUCCUCUAUGCUUCUAACAAGCAUAUUUGGGUGCUUUUCAUUUCUCUCCCCUUGCUAAAUAACUUCCACCAAAGCUUGAGAGUUCAAAUCUAAGAUCACUUUCCUAAAACCCAGGACCCAGACUGUUUGCAAUUUCUGAAAAACACUCCAUAAUUCUGCUUGAAACGUCGUGCAUGUCCCUAUGUUCAUCACAAAAUUCACGACCCAUCUUCCCUGAUCAUCUCUGCACACUCCGCUGCAUCCUGUCUCUCCAUCUAUCCCCUCUAAUGCUCUAUUUGUAUUCACCUUUAUCCAACUUGGCGGUGGUGGGAUCCAAGAUAUAUUCAUAUCCACCAUUUUAUUUCGAGUAGAUAUUUCUCCUCUUCUUCCACCAACAGGUUGUGAUGAAGAGAGAUUGCCACUUUUCUUAGUUUUGGAAGCCUAUGUUCGAUGAAAGAUUCUAUCUAAUCUAGUGAGCAAAGGGAGAUCUGAAGAAUUCUUGAAAGUUGAAAGGAUGUAUCAGAUUAGUCCACACCCUUGACGCAACUCCACAAUAGUGCAAAACAUGAAUUUGGAAUUUUUUUUUGUAUAUUUUCACAAUGGUGACAAUCAAGUUCUGUUCCAAGCAUCUUGCUUCUUUUACUUGUUGUUAGAAUCUUUUUACGAGUUUCUUGCCAAAGAAAAUAUUUCAUUUUUUGUGGCCCCUGCCAUUUUCAAAUAAUACUCUAAAUUUGAUCUUGUACAUUGUUUUGAGUAAUUAGGUGCAUAUAGGCACUCUUAGUUGAAAGUCCCCAUCUUGGGUGAGGUUCCAUAUUACUUGGUCUUUUCCUAUAGCUUCAUUAGGGGGAAGGACAACUGUGAUUUUGCUAACAAUAUUCUAGGAAAAAAAAUUGCUUAAUGCUCAUUAGAACCUAGUUACCCUCUUUGUUAAUAUAAUCACCUUCUAAUUCAAUUAUGUCUCUGUCAGUUGAGUUGUAGUUUUCAUUAGUUACCAUUAGUAACCAUGGCACCAAAGUAUCUGCCAAGGCUAGGUGUCUUUUGAAAUUCACAUUUUUGAAUGAUAUUUUUUUUAGUAUUCAUGUCUACAUUCUAUGAGAAAACAAUAGAAGUCUUCAUAGAAUUAAUUUUCAAGCCCAAGACCAUACAAAAGUUAUCAAGUUUACCUUUCACCAUUUUAAUUUGUUCACUCAAUGCUUCUACAAAGAAAAUUAAAUCGUCCACAAACAGAAGAUGUGCUAUGGGAAGCCCAUGCCUUCUAGCUAUCAUUAGCUUACAUUUUUGUCUGUUAACACUGUCUUCUAUAAUUUGUGACAAUUUGUUUGUGGCAAUAAAAAAUAAGUAGGGAAAAUAGGAUCCCUUAUCUUGACCUCUUUAUAGGAGUAAAUUCUUCCGUUUUGCAAUCAUUCUAUAAUAUCUUAAAUGAUGCAGUGAAAACAAAUUCCAUGAUGACCUUGAGAAUAUGCCCUGUCACACCAAACUCCUCCAAACUCUUAUGAAUAAAUUCCUAUCAUAA